UUUGAAAUCUGGCCCUCCCGGCGGGGGGUCCGACUUGUAAUCUGCAGAUGGGCCUUCGGGUAAGGCGCGCGCGCCCAAGUUCCCUGGAACGGGACGCCGGAGAGGGUGAGAGCCCCGUACCGGCGCCGCGCCGAGCCGUCGCGAGGCCCAUUCGACGAGUCGAGUAGUUUGGAAAUGCUGCUCUAAUUGUGGGGUAAAUCUCCCAUAAGGCUAAAUACCGGCCAGAGACCGAUAGCGCACAAGUAGCGUGAGCGAAAGAUGAAAAGAGCCUUGAACAAGGGCGUCAAAAAGCAUGUGAAAUUGUUGUGGGGGAAGCGCUCGUCGCCAGACGUGGCGGCGGCUGUUUACCCGGCGCUCGUCGCCGGCGCACUCGGCCCGCCGCCAGGCCAGCACCGGCUCGCGCCCGGGGCCCAAUGCCGUGGGGAACGUAGCUCCCCCUCUCGGGGGGGAGUGUUACAGCCCCGCGGCGACGCCCUGGGCCGGGCCGAGGCACGCGCAUCUGCACGGAUGCUGGCUUAAUGGCGCCUAGCGACCCGUCUUGAAACACGGACCAAGGAGUUGACCUGGCGCGCGAGUGUUAGGGUGUCAAGCCCCGACGCGCAGUGAAAGCAAACGCCGGUGGGAGCCCCUCGCGGGCGCACCAUCGACCGAUCCCGAAGCUUCGCCGGACGGAUUCGAGUAGGAGCGUGCCGGGUCUGACCCGAAAGAAGGUGAACUAUGCAUGAGUAGGGCGAAGCCAGAGGAAACUCUGGUGGAGGCUCGCAGCGGUUCUGACGUGCAAAUCGAUCGUCGAACUUGUGC
rnacentral:rRNA from 1 species